rnacentral:lncRNA from 1 species
GUCCGCACCCGAGGCAUAUGGAAGUUCCCAGGCUAGGGGUCAAAUUGGAGCUACAGAUGCCAGCCCAUACCACAGCCACAGCAAUGCUAGUUCCCAGAUGCAUCUGCAACCUACACUGCAGCUCACAGCAAUGCUGGAUCCUUAACCCACUGAGCCACAACAGGAACUCCUAUUCAAAAGAUUGUACCAGUCCCUGUGUCUGGCGAUGGGGAGAUACUGAUGUACUCAAAACUUGAGAUCCCUAUUUAUACAGAUUUGGAGCUGGGGAGUAGGAGGGGCAGGGAAUGGAUAAGCCAACAUGCCAGGACAAAGAUAGCAGCAGGUGAUGGGGCCAGUGGCGGGAGGGGCAAUCAGGUGAUCAAGGAAGGCUUCCUGGAGGAGGUGAUAUUUCAGCUGCAUGACCAAACGGCAUUGAAGAAACAGAAAUUGCUCCUAACCUGGAUGGAGCAGGGUGGCAAAAAGUGGCAAGGGCUGAAUCUGGAUGGGAUGCGCAAAACCAAAGCCACAUAUGUGAAUGCAUUUUGUGCUCUCCCAGAAUCACCUUCCUCUCCCGCCUCCCUGGCAUUCUGAUAAGCUUCCCUGAGUGGGAGAGGGUGGAGUUACUGCCUACUUGCCAGGAGCCUCCCUGAGUCCCCUGCUCCCAGGGGAGAGCAUCUCACAUGUCAGCAUCCUCCAUCCUGUACAUCCAGGUGAGAAGUGCUGGCUUCAAGGCAGGUAGGAGGAGAGAGAGGCAGAGCUGCUUUGAGCUCGGCACCUGGCGAGUGAGCAUCUGCAUCAGGUAAGCUUUGGGUAGAGCAGCUCACAGCACCUGCACUUGAACUCAGAUCCUGCCUUUGUGAGCUUGGUCACCUUUCUCAUCUUCCUUAGCCUCUGUUUCCUCACCUGUCAAAUGGGUUUAUAAUCCUUUCUACUUCCAAGGGUAGCUGAGACACUUCCUAAGGAUGUAAAAGCUCUGGGCGUGGCUUAUUUAUUGAUUCUGUGCUGACUGGUCCCCUACUAUGUGCCAGGCACUGUACUGGGAACCAGGAUACAGAUGUGAACAAGACAGGCCCAGCCUGCGGGUGGCAGGGGAGACAUAUAAUGCUCACACAAGUCAGUAAUUACAAAGACAAGAUUUUACAAGCACACAGUAGGUGUGGUCCCUUCAUCAGAGACCUGGACAUGAGCAUCCUUAAAAGAUCCAGCUCUUGGGGGGCCAGUCUCAGCUCCAGAAGGGUCCAAGCCCUAUUCCUACCCCCCUGGCAACAUCUCUAAACCCCAGAGACAACCUCUCAGGAGAUCAGUUGCAGACGUGGUCAGUUGUGUCAAGGGCGGUGUCCACUAGCACAGGCAUGAAUCACGUCCUGCCCGCUCAGAAGAGGUGGGGGAGGGGCCCCCAGACCCAUGUUCGCAAACACUGAUGAGGUGGGGCCGUGCCGAGCGUGUAAGGAGGGGAUGGGAGAAAAUGAGCCUGCGCAGGACAACCCCCCCAUGCUGAUGGAAAUAACACCUCCAACCAGAAAACAAGCAUUCACUCCACGCUUACUACGCUGGUCCGCAGCUAUAAUACAAACCGGAACAGAGAUUAUCUCCUCGAUGCCUCCCAAUUACCCCAUGACUCCACGUAUUAUUAUUUUUCCAACUUGAGAAGGGAGGAAACUGAGGUUUAAGGAGAUUAACUGCCUAGUCCAAGGGCAUUCAUUUCAGCAAUCUCCGCAGCCCAAAAGACUGAACCCUUCUGCUGGCUUGGCAGGAAUGAAGCCAGGGGACAAUCUUAAAAAUACAGAGGGGGUGGGUCCCCAAAGCUGGUCUAAGUGACAGUUGCUGCCUGGGCCAGGUCUCCAGCAGGAUGGGGUAGCUGGUCAAGGGGAGACCAUUGGUCAUGGCUUGUGACUUUGGCUAUGGGUCCUGAGCCUCAGUUUUCUCAGCUGGGCACAAAGGCCUGGCACACCCAUGGAGCCCCAGCCCUUCGCAUUGAUAAGGCGGGAAGACCAGGCAUCUGGCUACA